AUGGAUACAAGGUCAUAAGCUGAGUUACCAACUAUCAGAUUCAUGUCUGCUAUAUCAGUCUACAAGGAGCUGACCGUCCGAAACGACGUCGGAAAAAGUUCUACUGUCCAACGACAUCCGAAAUCUCGCAAGUCUAUGGCAACACUAGUCUAAGCCUAGACUAAGGCCAAACAUACUUCAAAUCAAUAUUAUCAUAUACACCACAAGGUAUGGAUGUUCAAUAAUAU
rnacentral:lncRNA from 1 species